GUAAUCGCGGAUCAGCAUGCCGCGGUGAAUACGUUCCCGGGCCUUGUACACACCGCCCGUCACACCCAUGAGAGUCGGGAACACCCGAAGUCCGUAGCCUAACCGCAAGGAGGGCGCGGCCGAAGGUGGGUUCGAUAAUUGGGGUGAAGUCGUAACAAGGUAUC
rnacentral:rRNA from 1 species